rnacentral:rRNA from 1 species
GACGAACGCUGGCGGCGUGCUUAACACAUGCAAGUCGAACGGAAAGGCCCUGCUUUUGUGGGGUGCUCGAGUGGCGAACGGGUGAGUAACACGUGAGUAACCUGCCCUUGACUUUGGGAUAACUUCAGGAAACUGGGGCUAAUACCGGAUAGGAGCUCCUGCUGCAUGGUGGGGGUUGGAAAGUUUCGGCGGUUGGGGAUGGACUCGCGGCUUAUCAGCUUGUUGGUGGGGUAGUGGCUUACCAAGGCUUUGACGGGUAGCCGGCCUGAGAGGGUGACCGGCCACAUUGGGACUGAGAUACGGCCCAGCCUCGUAAGGGAGGCAGCAGUGGGGAAUAUUGCACAAUGGGCGGAAGCCUGAUGCGGCAACGCCGCGUGCGGGAUGACGGCCUUCGGGUUGUAAACCGCUUUCGCCUGUGACGAAGCGUGAGUGACGGUAAUGGGUAAAGAAGCACCGGCUAACUACGUG